rnacentral:rRNA from 1 species
AUUGAACGCUGGCGGCAGGCCUAACACAUGCAAGUCGAGCGGAUGAAGGGAGCUUGCUCCUGGAUUCAGCGGCGGACGGGUGAGUAAUGCCUAGGAAUCUGCCUGGUAGUGGGGGAUAACGUCCGGAAACGGGCGCUAAUACCGCAUACGUCCUGAGGGAGCAAGUGGGGGAUCUUCGGACCUCACGCUAUCAGAUGAGCCUAGGUCGGAUUAGCUAGUUGGUGGGGUAAAGGCCUACCAAGGCGACGAUCCGUAACUGGUCUGAGAGGAUGAUCAGUCACACUGGAACUGAGACACGGUCUAGACUCCUACGGGAGGCAGCAGUGGGGAAUAUUGGACAAUGGGCGAAAGCCUGAUCCAGCCAUGCCGCGUGUGUGAAGAAGGUCUUCGGAUUGUAAAGCACUUUAAGUUGGGAGGAAGGGCAGUAAGUUAAUACCUUGCUGUUUUGACGUUACCAACAGAAUAAGCACCGGCUAACUUCGUG